CGCAAACUUUUUUUUCGAUAAGAACUCUCAAAAAAAAUAACGCUGUUAUCCCUAAGGUAAUUUAAUCUUAUAAUCAUAAAUAUAUGGAUCACUUACUCAUAAAUCAAUGUUAUUAAAUAAAAAAAGUUCAUUCAAUUUUUUAAUCGCCCCAAUCAAAUAUUGAAUUUUAAAAAUAAAUUAAUAAUUCUAUAACUCUCUAUUCUUAAAAUUAAAUAUAAAACUCUAUAGGGUCUUCUCGUCUUUUAAGAAUAUUUAAGCUUUCUUACUUAAAAAUAAAAUUCUAAUUUAAAUUAAAUUGAGACAGUUUUUUUCUCGUCCGACCUUUCAUACCAGUUCCCAAUUAAAAAACUAAUUAUUAUGCUACCUUUGCACGGUCAAAGUACCGCAGCCAUUUAAAUAUAAUUCAUAGGGCAGGCCAAACUUUAAAUUAUUAACAAAAAGCCAU
rnacentral:rRNA from 1 species